rnacentral:rRNA from 1 species
CCUACGGGAGGCAGCAGUAGGGAAUAUUGCUCAAUGGGGGAAACCCUGAUGCAGCAACGCCGCGUGGAGGAGGAAGGUUUUCGGAUUGUAAACUCCUUUUGUUAGAGAAGAUAAUGACGGUAUCUAACGAAUAAGCACCGGAUAACUCCGUGCCAGCAGCCGCGGUAAUACGGAGGGUGCAAGCGUUACUCUGAAUCACUGGGCGUAAAGAGGGCGUAGGCGGGAUAGCAAGUCAGAUGUGAAAGCCUAUGGCUUAACCAUAGAAAUGCAUUUGAAACUGUUAUUCUAGAGUAUGGGAGAGGUAGGUGGAAUUCUUGGUGUAGGGGUAAAAUCCGUAGAGAUCAAGAGGAAUACUCAUUGCGAAGGCGACCUGCUAGACCAUAACUGACGCUGAUGCGCGAAAGCGUGGGGAGCAAACAGGAUUAGAUACCCUUGUAGUC